UUACUCCUGCUUGGGCUUGCAUAUAGGAUCCUGACGGAGGCUCAGCUAAACUGCAUAUUGAAAUUGCUCCAAAUCCACUGAAAUGAGCUGCGACAAAAACGCAAACCGUAAGUAAAGAUAAGGUUAUGAUACUAGAUAAUGAAACAUUGUUGUCUUUUGAAUUAAACCACACAGAGUAUGCAAAGAGAACUAUACUUGACACCUACUGAACAAUGUAUGAAGUCGAGUGAAUAUUGUAUGGAGCCAGCAUUUAACCGCCGGGCACGUAGGCUCUACAUGCUGUGAGUUGCUUGUUAAACUCAAUUCAUUCUGUAGUAGUAUGUAGAGUUCCUAAAUGAACACAAGUUAUAGGUGGAGUAACUAUAGAACAACAUCGAACAAUACGAAUCGAUACCACUACAACCAGUUUUUUGAAAAGCUUUCGUCGAAUCUACUAUUCAUAAUAGAGAGGUUAAGAUACACCGGUUUCGGUGUACGUGUACGGGUAGAAUGAUUUUGGUUAGCAAUAUUUUCGUCGAUGUCUGUACCUUUACUCGUAAUUAAGGUGCACAUUUUUCGCAUUAUAUCAUUGUCUAUUGGAAGAAAACUGAAAAAGUAUGAUCGAAUUACAAACAUCAGUAAAACAAGAUGACACUACUCGUACCCGUACACCGAAACCGGGGUAUCUUAACCUCUCUAAUAUGGAUUUGGUUCCAUACCUAAGAUCGUAUCUUCAGUUUUAGCGCAUUUUUAAGAUCGGACUCACCAUUCACUGAUCAUUGUACAGAUUUAUUUAUAUAACCUUGAGGAUCAUGUUGCUGCGUUACUCCGUGUCAUGACAGCAAUAAAAUAGACAAAUUUAGAAAACCAAAACAUGGAAGUGAAUGUUUAUUUUAAGUUUAAAAUGUUAUUCACAUUUAUUCGAGCAUUUAUUAGCUUUGCCAUUUUAAAAUAAUUUGAACUUCAACUUUAUUUGCACGAUUACCAAUUUUACGAAAAUUAAAAGCCAGAUAUAUGAUCUGAGUACUGUAUGCAGAUCAUGCAUGCCUGAACAGAACUCCUAUGCUAUAGGAGUUCUGUUCAGACAUGUACAAGAUCUGCAUAUACUCGGAUCAUAUAUCUGGCUCUUAAUUUUCGGAAAAUUGGUAAUCGUGCAAAUAAAAGUUGAAGUUAUCAUUUCAAAUUAUUUUAAAAUGGCAAAGUGCCAAAGCUAAUAAAUGCUCGAAUAAAUGUCAAUAACAUCUUUAACUUAAAAUAAACAUUAAGGUGUGAGUGUAUGAUCUUGGGCAUGUCUGAACAGAACUCCUAGAAGAAAAGAUUAAUCUUUCCACCAGGUAAAACACAAACCAGGAUAUAGUUUAUUGUUCUCCAUGCAAAACUGGACCAGGUUUGCAAAACUGGACCGUGGUGGACCAGGUUUGCAUGGUAGAACAAUAAACUAUACCCUGCCCUGGUUCGUGUUUUACCUGGUGGAAAGAUUAAUCUUUUCUUCUAGGAGUUCUGUUCAGACACGCACAAGAGAGAUCGAUCUCAAACGUGCAUGGUUGUCUAGUUUUGCAUGGUCGUAUAUUCUACAAUAAACUAUAGCCUGCCCUGGUUUGUGUUUUACCUGGUGGAAAGAUUAAUCUUUUCAUAUAGGAGUUCUGUUCAGACACGCACAAGAUCAGUUAGAUCAUAUACACCGGAUCAUAUAUCUGGUUCUUAAUUUUCGCUCAAAAGAUAGAGCAGGUAAAUUGAUACAAUUGGCUUCUUAAAAGCUCCGAGCAGUUAUAUCUCUAUCUAUGAUAAAAUUCUGCAUGAUGAAAUCCACGAAGAGACCAUUUUCAUUUUUUAGAUUGUUGCAAUGGCCCGGGCUAUGCUACGCCUUUAGAUGCGAUGAAAGGCCCCCGGGAGAAGAUUGUGUAUUUGCCAUGUAUUUAUGGUAAUACUGGGAUUAAAAAACCUGACUAUCUUGCUACAGUUGAUGUGGACCCGGAGUCGUCAGAUUACGGCAAGGUAAGAGGUCAUUCGGCAAGGGUGAUUUUUGUCUCCUCAGAAAUUGAGCUAUGAUACAAAUAGAACUAUAGAAGAAUUGUGAGUUGGUUUCCUCUGGCCAGAAAAUAUUUGCAGUGCAUUCUUUCUUUCUAUUCCUAUACCCAAUUUUAAGGUUAAUCACUAUAUAGUGCAUGUUCGCAGUCAUUACAUUUUCUAUACGUGUUUUAUAGCAUGCACGUGCAGGUGCGAUGUAAAUUUUGUUUCUUACUGAAAUAUCUCUAAUAUUCGUGGUUACUUAUAUGAUUCUUUAUAGCAGAUAAAUUACAAUGACAGGGUUCGUAGUCUCCAAGACCAAAAAAAUUUAAAGACUUCCAAAGAUUUUUUCUGCCUAUUUUCAAAGACUUUUCAAAGACCUUUGAAAACAAUCAGCUGUCGAAAAAUUGCGAGUGUAAGCACCAUUUUUACCCGGUAAUUAGUCCCGUCAAAUCACGUCCUAAAAUGCGCCUUUUCGUCGAUAUUUGCGAAAAUCUUGCUUCAAUCAAUCUGUUUUAUUAGCUAGGAAAUCGUAUAAUCAAUUCCUCACUAAAGAAUUUAAAGACUUUCUUCGCUUCUUCACACAAUUCAAAGACCUUUCAAAUACCUUAAAGACCUGCAUUCAAAUUUAAAGACUUUCAAGGACUUCAAGGAUUUCAAAACCCGCUACGAACCCUGAAUGAUAUUGGUUUUAAUAUGUUCCUCCGCAACACCUAAACAAAAUUGUAUGUGAUAACGAUCAUUUUGUGUCUUGCAUAAAUUGCGAUGGAUUGGAUCUUGGCCGCUGAAGAAACAAUCAUCAUAGAACAUGCACGGCUUGCUCAACUUACUUUUAUUCUGCGUUUGAAAUUUCUAUAACAAAUUUUUCACUCAGCUAUACGAUUUUGGAUCAAUCAAUAUUCUCAAAUAUUCCCAGGUAAUCCACCGUCUCCCAGCGCUUCACUUGGAAGAUGAACUGCAUCACAGUGGCUGGAAUGCGUGCAGUAGGUCAGUGAUUAUUUUACCGAAUUUUACCAAACAUCAAACCUGUACAAAAAGUGACGUUUGCUUUUGUGUAGUUGCCAUGGUGAUUCAAGCAGAACACGCGACUCUCUCGUGAUGCCCUCACUGUUGUCUAGUCGUGUUUAUAUUUUUGACGUCGCUACAGAUCCCAGGGCGCCCAAGAUUCGCAAGGUAAAAAAUUAAUAGACUCUUGCGGAAAAUACGUCACAUAAUUUUGCUAGAGAGCCUCGUUUUCGCGAUUGAGAGACUUGGAUUUAACAAGGUCUUUCUCUGAUGCCUGCGCCACUAAAAUUCUCUAUGUAGGUCAUUGAGCCCGAAGAAGUGUUUGAAAAAACAGGCUUGGCUUACCUGCACACGACGCACUGCCUGGCUGACGGUAACAUCAUGAUCAGCGCCAUGGGAAAUCCUCAAGGAGAAGCUAAAGGUGAGGAAUCGUUAUUAGUCUAUCGUGAUUAGAUAAAUCAUAGUCAUUAGUCUAUCGUGAUUAGAUAAAUUAUCGUGAUUAGAUAAAUUAUCAUGAUUAAUCUAUAUCGUGAUUAGAUAAAUUAUCGUGAUUAGUCUAUCGUGAUUAGAUAAAUUAUCGUGAUUAGUCUAUCGUGAUUAGAUAAAUUAUCGCGAUUAGAUCGUGAUUAGUCUCUUUAAGAAGUUCAGGCAACACUACUAUGCAACGCACUUAUAUAAAGCUUGUCAUUUAAUUUGACGAAAACGUUAGUCGCCAAACACUAACUCGACUUUCUUACCCCAGGUGGCUUUGUUCUGGUGGAUGGUAAAGACUACUCCGUCAAAGGAAAAUGGCAAGAACAAACCACAAAGUUUGGUUACGACUUCUGGUAUCAGCCUCGACAUAAUGUGAUGAUCAGUUCAGAGUGGGGCGAACCGAAAUCGUUAUGUCAGGGUUUUAAUCCACAGCACGUGGCUGAUGGUAUGUCUGUCUCUCUUCAAAGCUUCAAGCAUUAGUGGUCAAUGCGUGUGACUGGGCUUGAACUUGACCAAGCAUGAAGUAGCAGUGAACAAGACAUCGCCCUUACUGAACCUCUACGAAGAACAGUUCAGAACUGAUAGAGCCACGAUCUACUGUAGCAUAAAAUGUAAUUUGGUUCGUGUAUUUUUCAUUUCAGGAAAAUACGGGCAAAACCUCCAUGUUUGGGAUUGGACAACACGCGAACUGAAGCAGAGCAUAGAUUUGGGCGAUGACGGGAAAGUUCCACUGGAGUUGAGAUUUUUACACGAUCCUGACGCGAACUUGGGUUAUGUCGGUUGUGGAUUGUCAAGUACCGUCUUUGCUUAUCAUCCUGGCAAGGUAGAGAGAUUUUGAGAGAAAUGCUUUUCUAAGGCCCAGCUUACUCUGAUAGCUUCCACCAUGUGCUGUACGACAAUACUUAUUCAAACUUACAUAUCUGUACUAUCGUUUCAGAACGGUGAAUGGGUAGCUGAAAAAGUUAUUUCUGUCCCAAACAAAAAGGUCGAAGGCUGGGCUUUGCCAGAAAUGCCAGGUAUAUAGAACAUCAUGCCAAAUUAUAGCGCUCUUUAUUCUUCUUUCAUGCUUCCCCCAUUUAUAAUCAAAGCAAAGUAUGAUGACGCGUUUUCUCCGCUUUUUAGGGUUAAUAACAGAUAUCUUGAUCUCCCUGGAUGACAGGUUUUUAUUCUUAGUUAACUGGCUACAUGGCGAUAUUCGUCAGUAUGAUAUCACUGACAGACUUCAUCCAAAACUCGUUGGACAGGUGAGAAGAUGAAACGAGUCUCACUUGAGGUCACACCAUACAACGGCCCAUGUCUGAUCACAGCUAAAGGUGGAAGGGUUAGGCUUUGAUGAGAGAGAAAAACCCCGGAGUACCUAGUUAAAUCAGAGCGACAAAAUCACUCAUCAUAUAGCAACAUCCGGUACUCUCAACCUACAGUAGCAGGGUUAACUUAGCCAUAAAGGACAGCAUCUGUCACCCGUGCAUUCCGAGAUUUAUAGCAUAGUGUCCUAAAUCUCAUAGCUUACUCUUUUCCUACUACCAUCCGACCCCUCUAUCUUAUUUCAAAUCAAUAUUGCAACUGCCAUUUGUAGCUGUUCGUCGGAGGAAGCAUAACCAAAGAUGGUCCAGUGAAGGUGACAAAGGAUGAGGAACUAAAAGAACAGCCUGAACCUGCUUAUAUUCAAGGAAAGAAGAUCGAAGGAGGACCUCAGAUGAUUCAAUUGAGUUUGGAUGGAAAACGACUGUUUUUCACUACAUCUCUUUUCAGCGUUUGGGAUAAACAGUUUUAUCCCGAAAUGACAAAGUAAGAAUAGAAGAAUGACAUUCCUAUGUCCUUCAAUGCACUAAGACUUAGGAUUAGAUGAGGAUUAUACAAUUGUUAGGUUAAGGUAAGGACUAUAUGUUGGAUAAUGGCAAGAUUAGAGCAAGGCUUAUAAGCAGGUAUUAGAAUGGGCAAAGCUACCUACCUUAUUAAAUAGAAGACUGCAAGAUAUUACGACCAGGUCGAAUCUAAGAUCUGCCCAAAUCACAUGCUAGACAUGUUUUGUAGAAACUCAACAGUAGAUUUAAUAGAUUUAAUACAGUCAACUACGGUAAACAUUCUCUUAGAUAUUUUGGGCCACAAUUGUGGUCUAAUAUUUUAGCUGUAGAAAUUUAUCUACUUAGAAAUUAAUUAUUUAUUUAUGUAGAUAGUGUCCUUAUAUUUAGUGGUUUUAUACUACUAUCAUUUUUUGACACUUAUUAAUUAAUAAUAAUAAAGUUAUUAUUAUUAUUAAUUGUGAAGAUUAAGCAAUCAUUGUAUCGAAAUUAGGCUUAUUACUACAAAGUCUAAGAAAGAUAAGCAUUGAUUUAAAUUUCAUCAUUUUGCUCUAGCAAAGGCUCCAUGAUGUUAAAGGUGAAUGUGGACACAGAGAAAGGAGGCUUAACAUUGGACAAAGAUUUUUGUGUUGAUUUUGGCGAAGAACCCAACGGUCCAGCUCUAGCACACGAGGUCAGAUACCCAGGUGGUGACUGCUCUUCAGACAUAUGGAUCUAACAAUUUACAUUUUGUUUUAGGAUUAAAUAAAUAAAGUAAAUUUACAUUUACUUUUAUGAUUCAUUGAAUAUGAAUAAAUUUACAUUUUGUUUUAUGAUUAAAUGAAUAAGAAUAAAUUUACAUUUUGUUUUAUGAUUAAAUGAAUAAGAAUAAAUUUACAUUUUGUUUUAUAAUUAUAUGAAUCAGAAUAUUCAGAUUCUGACAAUAAUAAUCAGAAUAAAUCAAUCUUGAAUUAUUAGUAUAUGAACGAUUGAAAACCUGCAUGGCACACCAUUUGUUUACAUGGAUUUUGUGUCUGAGGGAAAUUAGCCCGUUGGGCAUACUAUGGCGUUCCGUUCCGGUCAAAAUGAUUUCAAGUCAAUAAGUAAUAUUCAAACAUCAUAUAAACAUCUUAUAACUCUCAAUAUAAUGUUGAAAAUAUCAAGAUGAAGUUCAAACUCAAAAAAAUAAAACGAAAGUUUAAAGCAUAUACUUGAAAAAUGCAAAAUACAUUUCAAAUCUCAAAGGAUAUAUAUGAAAAUUAAACGCAAGUCCAAACUUCUAUUUAUAAAGCGAAACUCCCAAAUGAUAAGUCAAAGCCGCGGCUCAUAAAAAUAAAUCGAAAAGUCAAAAAUAUAAAUCGAAAGGAAACGGAAGUAAGAAUUAAAAUACAGAGGAAGUCAGGAAACGGAAGUUAACCACAAACAUUGCUGAUUCAGCCGAAUAUCUUUCUCGCCGUCUGGAUGUUUACAAAAGGAAAUAUAAAUAUUCUUCUCAAUCUCACAAGGCUUAAUACCCUCUAGAACAACAACGUUUGCCAGAUAUGCGCAUCCUUCAAGUGAUUGUUCGUCGUCGAAGGGAAAGAUGCGAAGCACUUUCCUUUCGCCCUUUGUUGGAGGAGUACCGUCUCCUCCUACCCCCNNNNNNNNNNNNNNNNNNNNAUCCCCCCCCCCCCCCCCCAGGGACCACGGUAUUGUUCAGACAAGUGUAGGGCAGUGGGAGUGUUAACUAUUAACUAUCUCUGGUGUGGGAAGACCAGAAACUGGGCAGAAAUUGCAAGAAAUUUUGAGCAUCUGAGAGUACAAUACGACGACGUUCAUUUGUCUCAGCUAAUACGAACAGGGAAUCACAUUCUACCAUAAGGGACAAUGAUCUUGAUCUAUUUGUUCGUGGUAUCUUACAAGUAACACCUAGAAUUGGCUAUAGAUUAGUACAAGAAUAUUUAUAUUUCUUUUGUAAACAUCCAGACGGCGAGAAAGAUAUUCGGCUGAAUCAGCAAUGUUUGUGGUUAACUUCCGUUUCCUGACUUCCUCUGUAUUUUAGUUCUUACUUCCGUUUCCUUUCGAUUUGUAUUUUUGACUUUUCGAUUUAUUUUUAUGAGCCGCGGCUUUGACUUAUCAUUUGGGAGUUUCGCUUUAUAAAUAGAAGUUUGGACUUGCGUUUAAUUUUCAUAUAUAUCCUUUGAGAUUUGAAAUGUAUUUUGCAUUUUUCAAGUAUAUGCUUUAAACUUUCGUUUUAUUUUUUUGAGUUUGAACUUCAUCUUGAUAUUUUCA
rnacentral:lncRNA from 1 species